GACGAACCGUGCGAACGUUGUUCGGAAUCACUGGGCUUAAAGGGUGCGUAGGCGGGUCUUUAAGUCAGGGGUGAAAUCCUGGAGCUCAACUCCAGAACUGCCUUUGAUACUGAAGAUCUUGAGUUCGGGAGAGGUGAGUGGAACUGCGAGUGUAGAGGUGAAAUUCGUAGAUAUUCGCAAGAACACCAGUGGCGAAGGCGGCUCACUGGCCCGAUACUGACGCUGAGGCACGAAAGCGUGGGGAGCAAACAGG
rnacentral:rRNA from 1 species